GAUGAACGCUAGCGGGAGGCUUAACACAUGCAAGUCGAGGGGCAGCACGAGGUAGCAAUACUUUGGUGGCGACCGGCAGACGGGUGAGUAACGCGUAUGUAACCUACCCUGUACAGGGGGAUAACCCGGAGAAAUUCGGACUAAUAUCCCAUGGAAAUAUCGAAGGGCAUCUUUUGAUAUUUAAAGUUCCGGCGGUACGGGAUGGGCAUGCGUAACAUUAGCUGGUUGGUAGGGUAACGGCCUACCAAGGCUUUGAUGUUUAGGGGUCCUGAGAGGGUGAUCCCCCACACUGGUACUGAGACACGGACCAGACUCCUACGGGAGGCUG
rnacentral:rRNA from 1 species